CCUGCCCGCCUGCUCCCCCCCCCCCCCCCCCCCCCGCCCAUGUUGCACGCCCCGUCCCCCGUCUCGAUGCCCACCCCUAUCUCGUUGUGGUCGAUCUCUAUUUUCUCUCCCUCCUCCUAGUCACGCUGGCUCAGCGAACCACUGCUCGUCUAUCGCUCCAUGCCUCCCGCUGGUCGAUCCGCCCAACAUGUCUAGCAACCUCUGUUACACCGCCUCCGGCGACCACGGGAGCCCGUCGAGGAGGACAGGGGAGAUCUUGCUCGAUCUGAGGAUGCAGGGAGGCAUGCUGAUGACCUCCUCCUCACUUGAUCAGUGCUCGGUUCGGACCCCCUCUGCCGCCCUAGCCCUGAACCCUAGGUUUGCUACUCUCAUCGGAAAACCUCAAUCCCUGGCGCUCAUAUCACAAACCCAGAUCUAGCUUUCAAUAAUCUUGCUAAUUGAGCUAAGUACUUGCAUCCAUCUCCUUUAUUUCAUUUUGCUUGAUCGAGGCUCUGCCUUUCCAAAACAUGUAUGUUGUGAUUAUGGAUAUUUUCCUCCCUUUUUCCUAAAGGAUGAAGGAAAAAUAAUUCUAGAUUUGCUAUACAAAAUACUCUUGUUCAAUUUCACAAACUAGCGAUCAUGAUUACUUAAUUUUUUAGCUCCCUGAUGUAUUGUUUUCAAAAUAGAUUUACUAUUUAUGAUGGUUUUGGCAAAUAUAUUGAUACCCUACGAAAUGUAGUGCUAAAAAUGCAUGUUAUCUUUUAUUUUACUUAAAUACAUGACAUUUGUGUUUGUAUUCUGCAAAGACAAAAUUAAGAAGAAUCAUAUAUCAUGUUUCUUCAACUGGGUGAAUGUAUCCUCUUAGCAGUGCAAGUGAUGUUGACAUGUACGACAUGCAAUUGAGCCCCAAUAUGUGAAACGUAGCGAUUUAAAAGGGCGAUGAUGCUCAACCUUAUUUGGAAUUGCAUGUCACUGAGAACAAAUAGGCUCAUGCGCUUCUGCAAGCCUGUUUACUCAUGCCUAUGAUGGUCAUUUAGAUGCAUGACAACUGGCUACAGUCAAAUUAGGAUGACUAAAUUGGGCAGCGGGAGCAUAAGGGAAAUCCUAGUUUCUUUGAUUGAACAAAGGUUGUGUUGAGCCUCUUUUCUAUGCUCAACUCAUGGUAUAAGACUGUCUCCAGCAACGUCCUCUAUAUACAUCCUUUACAGUUUUCUCUAAAAGAUUUCAUCUCCUAUAUCUACUUUCUCUCCAACAACGUCCUCUAAAUCACGUCAUCUAUAUGUAAAUACCUAUAUUAAAGACAUUUUUAAUUUUUUAAUUUUUGUACAUACGUAUUUGUCAUACUAUCAAAUGUAUUGUACAUAUUUUAGUUUUAUUAAACCGGUUGUUUAAAGUAUUCAAAUAGAUAGAGAAUCGUUUAGAGAAAAUCUACAUAUAGAGGAUCCAGCAGCGUUCUCUAAAUUUAGAGGACCGUUUAGAGGACGUUGCUGGAGGGAGUAGAGGACGUCCUCGUCCUCUAAAUUUAGGGUACAAGACCCUUUAGAACUCCUUGUUGGAGCUAGUCUAAGGUAUCCCUUUUCAGUUUUCGUCCUAUUUUUUGUUGUUUUGCCAUGUUUGGAUUCGCUUGAUUCACAGCAAAAAUGAUUGAAAAAUAAUGUUUGGAUUCGCUUGAUUUAAGACAAGCAAAAGUUAAGCAAAAAAUAUUAUAUAUUUAUCAAAUUAAAUACGAUAGCUUGGCAAAUUUUAGUAACCAAGCAAAUAAUAUCAAAAUCAUAGCCUAUUAAAUCUUUGGUCUAGCAUAUUUUAGUUUUAGAAGCUAAUUAAGUAGGAUGUUUGAUACGAUGAUUGAAAUUGUGCUAGAAACAAGUACAUGCUCCUGGGAGUGCACAUGACUCAUGCCUUUCAAUCUUUUUCCCGUAUAUAAUUGUCUUAGACAUUUGGACCAGACACUCAUGGUAUAAUUUUCAUGAUGUUGGAUUAUUGAUUGGCAUUGAAGAGGUAUCACCAAAGAAGUAGGCUCAGUGCUUGACUGCUCUUCUAAAUCCUCUGUCAUCAGGUGAUUGUUUUUUUUGUUUUUUUAAUACUAUGGCAUUAGUUACAUUGAAACAUGAGAGUCGGAUGACGUUGUCGUCGAUAACUCCGACUACAGCUCGCCCAAGCGCGACGAUGGCCUCGGUUAGUGCUCUGUGCUAAAUCUUGCAGCUUUCUACACCGAUGUCUCAGGUGUGUAGAUGGAGAUGGGGGAGGUGGUACGACCUCAUGAAAACGUGGUCGGGGAAGAAGGCCACGACAUCGUGUACCAUAACAUCUUUGUCAGCGCCGAGGUCAUCACGGUCAAGGACUUGUUUGGUCACAAGUGAAUGCCCUGUUCUUCACUGCCCCUUUUCUUUUGUACUUGUAUCUUCGUUUUCAAUCCCACAAGAUCAUGGUAAAAGCGAACUCAUGCGUUCAAGAUUAAAGAAAUGCUAAUUACUUGACUAUAUAUUAUUUUUCAUUUAAA